UUCUCUUCUUUGAGCAUUUGAGAGUGUUCAAAGCACAUUUCGUGUAUGUGCUUGGCUAAGGAGCCAAUGAGACAAAGCUGCCAUCUGUAGGAUUAUGACUGAACACCUCUAAGUCAGAAUCCUGCCCAGGCAGAAUGAUAAGGCAGCGCUGCGGGAGCCUCAGUUUGCCUUGGAUAGCGGGUUCCUCUCUUUCCCCACUGGCAGAGUACCAUGGACUAGGAUCCGUUGCCGAUUGCCUUUCAUUCUGGGAAAAGGGGCAUGGCUGGAAGGGGGCUGCCCCCUCACCUGUCACGCAUCACACGUUUGUGGGGAUCCUGGUGCUAAACCAUUCGUAGACAUCUUGCUUCUGGGUUGGGGUUUUGUCUGUAUCAGAGCAGCUCCGUUGCUGCGAUCUAUUGAAAUUCAGCUCUCAACACAAGGGUUU
rnacentral:ncRNA from 1 species